rnacentral:rRNA from 1 species
AUGACCUUUCGCAUGCUAGGCCUUGUGUUGGGCAAUGGGUGCGCGCACAACAAACCUAGUUUGAGUAUGAUACUGACCUCUUCCAUGUUGAAUUUCCCCUCGAGCCGAGAAUCCACCGUAUCGAUGAUUGAGCCAUUGCGGUGGUGCUCAAGCACCCAGUCGACCAACACCAUCGGGUUGUUAUGCUCGUCACUCCUGAUUGGCCUGCGUCCACAGACGACCUCUAGGAGAAACACACCAAAUGCAAAUACAUCGGUUGAGGGUGUUGCCUUCCCCGUGCGCAUAAGUUCUGGCGCUAGGUAUCCCAUGGUACCAACGACAUGUGUUGUUUGA